GUGGGGAAUAUUGGACAAUGGGCGCAAGCCUGAUCCAGCCAUGCCGCGUGAGUGAUGAAGGCCCUAGGGUUGUAAAGCUCUUUCACCGGUGAAGAUAAUGACGGUAACCGGAGAAGAAGCCCCGGCUAACUUCGUGCCAGCAGCCGCGGUAAUACGAAGGGGGCUAGCGUUGUUCGGAAUUACUGGGCGUAAAGCGCACGUAGGCGGACAUUUAAGUCAGGGGUGAAAUCCCAGAGCUCAACUCUGGAACUGCCUUUGAUACUGGGUGUCUUGAGUAUGGAAGAGGUAAGUGGAAUUCCGAGUGUAGAGGUGAAAUUCGUAGAUAUUCGGAGGAACACCAGUGGCGAAGGCGGCUUACUGGUCCAUUACUGACGCUGAGGUGCGAAAGCGUGGGGAGCAAACAGGAUUAGAUACCCGAGUAGUCC
rnacentral:rRNA from 1 species